UCUUCUAACUGUGCUUAGCAUUCCCCAC
rnacentral:piRNA from 1 species